rnacentral:rRNA from 1 species
CCUACGGGGGGCAGCAGUGAGGAAUAUUGGUCAAUGGCCGAGAGGCUGAACCAGCCAAGCCGCGUGAGGGAAGAAUGUCCUCUGGAUUGUAAACCUCUUUUGUCAGGGAGCAAAGACACCCACGUGUGGGAGUUGGAGUGUACCUGAAGAAAAAGCAUCGGCUAACUCCGUGCCAGCAGCCGGGGUAAUACGGAGGAUGCGAGCGUUAUCCGGAUUUAUUGGGUUUAAGGGGUGCGUAGGCGGGGUAUAAAGUCAGCGGUAAAAUCGUGGAGCUAAACUUCAUCCAGCCGUUGAAACUGGUGAUCUUGAGUGGGCGAGAAGUAUGCGGAAUGCGUGGUGUAGCGGUGAAAUGCAUAGAUAUCACGCAGAACUCCGAUUGCGAAGGCAGCAUACCGGCGCCCGACUGACGCUGAAGCACGAAAGCGUGGGUAUCGAACAGGAUUAGAUACCCUUGUAGUC